GAUGAACGCUGGCGGCGUGCCUAACACAUGCGAGUCGAGCGAACAGACGAGGAGCUUGCUCCUCUGACGUUAGCGGCGGACGGGUGAGUAACACGUGGAUAACCUACCUAUAAGACUGGGAUAACUUCGGGAAACCGGAUCUAAUACCGGAUAAUCUAUUGAACCGCAUGGUUCAAUAGUGAAAGACGGUUUUGCUGUCACUUAUAGCUGGAUCCGCGCCGCAUUAGCUAGUUGGUAAGGUAACGGCUUACCAAGGCAACGAUGCGUAGCCGACCUGAGAGGGUGAUCGGCCACACUGGAACUGAGACACGGUCCAGACUCCUACGGGAGGCAGCAGUAGGGAAUCUUCCGCAAUGGGCGAAAGCCUGACGGAGCAACGCCGCGUGAGUGAUGAAGGUCUUCGGAUCGUAAAACUCUGUUAUUAGGGAAGAACAAAUGUGUAAGUAACUAUGCACGUCUUGACGGUACCGGAUGAGAAAGCCACGGCUAACUACGUG
rnacentral:rRNA from 1 species